GACGAACGCUGGCGGCGUGCUUAACACAUGCACGUCGAACGGUAAGGCCCUUCGGGGUACACGAGUGGCGAACGGGUGAGUAACACGUGGGUGAUCUGCCCUGCACUUCGGGAUAAGCCUGGGAAACUGGGCCUAAUACCGGAUAGGACUCCUGCCUGCAUGGGUGGGGGUGGAAAGCUUUUGCGGUGUGGGAUGGGCCCGCGGCCUAUCAGCUUGUUGGUGGGGUGAUGGGCUACCAAGGCGACGACGGGUAGCCGGCCUGAGAGUGUGACCGGCCACACUGGGACUGAGACACGGCCCAGACUCCUACGGGAGGCAGCAGUGGGGAAUAUUGCACAAUGGGCGCAAGCCUGAUGCAGCAACGCCGCGUGAGGGAUGACGGCCUUCGGGUUGUAAACCUCUUUUAGUAGGGAAGAAGCGAAAGUGACGGUACCUGCAGAAAAAGCACCGGCUAACUACGUGCCAGCAGCCGCAGUAA
rnacentral:rRNA from 1 species